UAGUAUACUCGAUUUCAGAUAACAAACUGUGGCAUGUCAGCGCAUGAUUGGGUAAAAAGUUUUAUUGAGAGCAAAAAUUUAUUUGGCAUGAUUUCUCUCUCUCGCGAAUGAUUCAAUUUGAGGAGAUUGAAUAGGUUGGAAUCGUUGGAGAUGGAAUAGGAGGAGACUGGAAUCGAAGGAGAUUGAACUAGAAUCAAGUCUUGUUCCCGGAUUGAAUCAUGGUCAGUAUGAGGAACACAUGAACCGUGGAGCUGGGAUCUAUGUUGUUCAUGUGCAUCAAUUUGGAGGACAUGUCGCUGGUCUUCCUUCAAAUUAUCUUAUCCCUCUCACUUACAAUGUUCCCAGCACUAGACAUCACACCUUGGGAUUAUGCAGGAGAAAGAAGCAUAGAAUGAGGGUGAUGGUUCGAGGAAAGUGCUUUGGUUCCCUGCGAAUUCUCCACGAACAGGUUUUCAGUAGCUGAUUUAAACACAUGUAUGAACAAAGGAGUUAAUGAGUCUGAGGACUUUGGAAUUAGGAUGGUUUACUUGUUUUUUACUAUUGAAGCGCUGCUGCAGCUUACCCAGGCUCUAAUGCAGUUCCAGCCAUCGGAUCAAAUUGUGAAAUCUCUCAAACGAACCAAAACUCCUAUGUCGAUUCCACCAAGAGGACCAAACUAGGUAAAGGCCGAGGCGGAAGACAGAAGAAACGUGGCAGCAAUGGAGGAUACUGGAACCCAAAUUAAAGUAGCUGCUAAGAAGAUCAACGCUGGGAAAGGCAUAGUCGGCUACAAAACCGUACUAUAUUACUACGUUGGGAAACAACCAAAGGCGUAAAAGGGGAUUGGUUAACAGCAACGAAGAAGACUUGUUUGAUAUGUCUGACGAGGACAGGUUCUUUGACGUUGAUGCAUUAUUCAGUAAUGAAGAAGAAGAAGAUGGUGUCGAUACUCAGCAGCAACAACAAGAGCAAAGUACACCGAUUCCUCCUCCUCAAGGUCAAGACGACUCAACAUCCGGGGAUGUGAUGACGAACGAAGACUAUGACUUUCCGUAUCUGUGACACUGAUGAAUUAUUGGCAGAUAUGGACAA